rnacentral:rRNA from 1 species
UACGUAGGGGGCAAGCGUUAUCCGGAUUUAUUGGGCGUAAAGAGCGUGUAGGCGGUUUGGUAGGGCCGCUGUGAAAACUCGAGGCUCAACUUCGAGACGCCGGUGGAAACCAUCAGACUAGAGUGCGGUAGGGGAGACUGGAAUUCCUGGUGUAGCGGUGGAAUGCGUAGAGAUCCGGAGGAACACCAAAGGCGAAGGCAGUGUCCUGGGGAGUACCUGACGCUCAGGUGCGAAAGCCAGGGGAGCGAACGGG